rnacentral:rRNA from 1 species
UACGGAGGGGGCUAGCGUUGUUCGGAAUUACUGGGCGUAAAGCGCGCGUAGGCGGACCUGCAAGUCGGGGGUGAAAGCCCGAGGCUCAACCUCGGAACUGCCUUCGAUACUGCGGGUCUCGAGUCCUGGAGAGGUGAGUGGAAUUCCUAGUGUAGAGGUGAAAUUCGUAGAUAUUAGGAAGAACACCAGUGGCGAAGGCGGCUCACUGGCCCGUUACUGACGCUGAGGCGCGAAAGCGUGGGGAGCAUACAGG